AGCAGUCGCCGCGGGAACACGAAGGGGGCUAGCGUUGCUCGGAAUUACUGGGCGUAAAGGGAGCGUAGGCGGACAUUUAAGUCAGGGGUGAAAUCCCAGAGCUCAACUCUGGAACUGCCUUUGAUACUGGGUGUCUUGAGUGUGAUAGAGGUAUGUGGAACUCCGAGUGUAGAGGUGAAAUUCGUAGAUAUUCGGAAGAACACCAGUGGCGAAGGCGACAUACUGGAUCAUUACUGACGCUGAGGCUCGAAAGCGUGGGGAGCAAACAGGAUUAGAUACCCCCGUAGUCCCUGUCUCUUAUAA
rnacentral:rRNA from 1 species